UAGGGAAUCUUCCGCAAUGGGCGAAAGCCUGACGGAGCAACGCCGCGUGAGUGAUGAAGGUCUUCGGAUCGUAAAACUCUGUUAUUAGGGAAGAACAAAUGUGUAAGUAACUAUGCACGUCUUGACGGUACCUAAUCAGAAAGCCACGGCUAACUACGUGCCAGCAGCCGCGGUAAUACGUAGGUUGCAAGCGUUAUCCGGAAUUAUUGGGCGUAAAGCGCGCGUAGGCGGUUUUUUAAGUCUGAUGUGAAAGCCAACGGCUCAACCGUGGAGGGUCAUUGGAAACUGGAAAACUUGAGUGCAGAGGAGGAAAGUGGAAUUCCAUGUGUAGCGGUGAAAUGCGCAGAGAUAUGGAGGAACACCAGUGGCGAAGGCGACUUUCUGGUCUGUAACUGACGCUGAUGUGCGAAAGCGUGGGGAUCAAACAGG
rnacentral:rRNA from 1 species